CAGCCGCCGCGGGAAUACAGAGGAUGCAAGCGUUAUCCGGAAUGAUUGGGUGUAAAGCGUCUGUAGGUGGCUUUUCAAGUCCGCCAUCAAAUCCCCGGGCUCAACCCUGGACAGGCAGUGGAAGCUACCAAGCUGGAGUACGGUAGGGGCAGAGGGAAUUUCCGGUGGAGAGGUGAAAUGCGUUGAGAUUGGAAAAAACACCAACGGUGAAAGCGCUCUGCUGGGCCGACACUGACACUGAGAGACGAAAUCUAGGGGAGCAAAUGGGAUUAGAUACCCCUGUAGUCCCUGUCUCUUAUAC
rnacentral:rRNA from 1 species